UACAGAGGUCUCAAGCGUUGUUCGGAUUCAUUGGGCGUAAAGGGUGCGUAGGCGGCGCGGUAAGUCGGGUGUGAAAUCUCGGGGCUUAACUCCGAAACUGCAUUCGAUACUGCCGUGCUUGAGGACUGGAGAGGAGACUGGAAUUUACGGUGUAGCGGUGAAAUGCGUAGAUAUCGUAAGGAAGACCAGUGGCGAAGGUGGGUCUCUGGACAGUUCCUGACGCUGAGGCACGAAGGUCAGGGGAGCAAACGGG
rnacentral:rRNA from 1 species